GCGUCAGUAAUGAAACGGUUUAGAGCACGCGUUUCUCGAUAAAGUGAGAUGUGGGUUCGAGCCCCGCCUGACGCA